AUUUUGAUAAGUAUUGAUUAUUAGAAAAUAUAUGUUGAUUACCCAAAAUUAUACGUUAGAUAUUUUACAACUGUCAACUGUGUAUUGAAUAUGGAAUGACAAGCGUAAGCUUUAUUAGAAAUUACAAGAAAUUAGACAAAUUGGUUUAAAAUGAGUCAUCGGAUAAAUACUCUUUUUGUCCUGACCAUGUAGUAUUAGUACACUGGUGCACACCUCUUAUUACACAAGUCACUAGAGCAUGCCAAGUAUUGGACUCUUGAUGAUUCAGAGCCCGAAUUAUGGGAUUUGUAUAGAGAAAUACAAUUAACUCUAUACUGCAAUAUAUUAAGUUAUAUUUGAACAUUGUUUCUUUUUAUAAUUUACGUAAAUUGUUUUCAUUUUCUACAUUUGAAAAUGCCUGUACAAUUCCUAAAACUAUGAGGAAACAAAAUAAACACUAUACAUUGUUGGGUCCGAAGUGUUUUUCUGGUUUUAAUGGAAUGCAAAAUAUUUAUAAAUACAAAACGGAGUGAAAUCUGUAUUUGUUGCAUAAAACAAACUUGCUCCAGUAAGUUGUAAACCGGUGUACAAAAGAAACUCUUUCAAAAUAUUUUACCAAUUUCAGUUGCCAAAUUAAUAACAGUGUAAGAACAAAUUGUGCUCGUAAUAAUUU
rnacentral:lncRNA from 1 species